rnacentral:rRNA from 1 species
UGGGGAAUAUUGGACAAUGGGGGCAACCCUGAUCCAGCCAUGCCGCGUGCGUGAAGAAGGCCUUAGGGUUGUAAAGCGCUUUCACUGGUGAAGAUGAUGACGGUAGCCAGAGAAGAAGCCCCGGCUAACUCCGUGCCAGCAGCCGCGGUAAUACGGAGGGGGCGAGCGUUGUUCGGAAUUACUGGGCGUAAAGGGCGCGUAGGCGGAUGAGCAAGUUAGGGGUGAAAGGCCUGGGCUCAACCUGGGAACGGCCUCUAAAACUGCUUGUCUUGAGUUCGGUAGAGGAUGGCGGAAUUCCCAGUGUAGAGGUGAAAUUCGUAGAUAUUGGGAAGAACACCGGUGGCGAAGGCGGCCAUCUGGACCGGCACUGACGCUGAGGCGCGAAAGCGUGGGGAGCAAACAGGAUUAGAUACCCCCGUAGUCC